rnacentral:rRNA from 1 species
GAUGAACGCUGGCGGCGUGCCUAAUACAUGCAAGUCGAGCGCACAGAUGAGGUACUUGCACCUCUGACAUUAGCGGCGAACGGGUGAGUAACACGUGGGUAAUCUACCUUUAAGCCUGGGAUAACUUCGGGAAACCGAUGCUAAUACCGCAUAAUAUCUUUAACCACAUGUUUCAAUAGUGAAAGACGGAUUUGCAGUAACUUAUAGAUGUAUCCGCGUGGCUUUGGCUAUUUGGUAAGGUAACGCUUGCCAAAGGCAACGUAGCUAAGCGGACCUGGAGGGGGGACCGCCAAAACUGGAACUGAGCCACGCCCCAGAUCCCUACGGGAGGCACCAGAAGGGAAUCUUCGGCAAUGGGCGAAAGCUUGACGGAGCAACGCCGCGGGAGGGAGGAGGGUUUUCGGUUCGUAAAACUCUGUUAUUAGGGAAGAACAAAUGUGUAAGUAACUAUGCACGUCUUGACGGUACCUAAUCAGAAAGCCACGGCUAACUACGUG